rnacentral:rRNA from 4 species
AGAGAUCUGGAGGAAUACCGGUGGCGAAGGCGGCCCCCUGGACAAAGACUGACGCUCAGGUGCGAAAGCGUGGGGAGCAAACAGGAUUAGAUACCCUGGUAGUCCACGCCGUAAACGAUGUCUACUUGGAGGUUGUGCCCUUGAGGCGUGGCUUCCGGAGCUAACGCGUUAAGUAGACCGCCUGGGGAGUACGGCCGCAAGGUUAAAACUCAAAUGAAUUGACGGGGGCCCGCACAAGCGGUGGAGCAUGUGGUUUAAUUCGAUGCAACGCGAAGAACCUUAC